rnacentral:lncRNA from 1 species
UUUUUUUUUUUUUUUCUGGCUGCUCUUUAAAAAUUGAGAUCUAGUAUAAUGAAACUCAUAUUCCUACUUGGUAUUUGUGCUUGACUAAACAGAGAAUACUCUCUCUCAGGUUUGUGGCACUUUUCUCCCAGAUAGUUUCUCACAUUUCUUACCUCCUAGUCCUCAUAGGCUUAUAGGUUUGCAACCCUAGAACUAGUAUGUCUUUGAUUUCAAACUCUUAUUUUGGCUUAAACCACCAUAUAAGUGCUGAUGAUUUCUAAAUCUCUAUUUCUACUUAAAUAUCCUGCAUACUCCCUAGGACCCAUGUAUUCAGUAUCAAAUUAUUAUUUUUUAAUAAACCUAAUUUUCUUCCACUAUUCUUUAAAUGACCCAGUUUAACAUAAUUACAUUCCUACAGUUGUCCAAAUUUUUAAAUACCCUUAGGGUUCUUCUUUCUUCCUUUUUUUCUCAUCCUACCCACAGCUUUUCAAUCAUGUGUCAAAUUAUGACAUGUCUUUGCUUUUACAGCUCUCAAUAUUUUGAAUACCUUUCUCUUCUUGAUAUCUCGAAAACCACUUGCUUUCCAAGAUGAAGCAAAAUUAAUUUCUAAAACUAAAUCUCCUGUCUCCAAGAGCAGUUAGUGUCUCCUUUCCAUGUAUAGGCAUCUCAAGCACACUGUACAUUGUAAGGGUAUUUAUUUACAGCUGGCUCUCUCACCAGUUGAUGGAUUCUUACAAGGACAGAGAUUAUGAUUUAGUUAUCUUUGCAUCAACAGUACUAAGACAAAAACAUGAACUCAAUGAAUGUGUCUCAUGAACAAAUACAUGAAGUUAUACAAUUCAAUGAAAAUAAGAUUAUUUCCUAUCAUGAAUUUACUUUCAAGUACAGUCUAUAUUAUACUUCAAUUUCUGAUUAAAUCUCCCCCCUCUUCUUGCUGGCACUUUUCUUGGUGCUUGCUUUGUACUGAUAGUAGAACCACUUAAAUAUUUGUACCUGUAAAAGUUAGACUGUAAAGUUAAAGUGGCUGUAUCAAAAGAAAACUUAUUGGCUCCACGAUGACAAUAUGAAUUUUUAAGGUAACUUCAAAAAUUCUGCUUUAAAUAUAUAAGGAUGCCAAAUAUUAACACUGAAAAAUAUGUAAUUACUCAUAAUCAGAAUCCUGAGAGGCACUGAACAGCUGCUGAAAAAUAUGGCAUGUCACUAUGCCAGCUUGAGUUUAAUGACCUACAUGUGAAGGGCUACAUAUCCAAUUACUAAUCCUCCCUCAGCUACUCUUUAGCCUGAUAUAGAGGCAGCUGAAAAAAAGAUGCCCUACUAACAUCAGAAAUGGAUCCAGACUUUGUUGUCAAUGUUCAGCCAGGAGAUCUUUUAGAUUUAAGACGAGGAAGAAAUAGGGAGUGACCCACAACAAUGUUAUAGCUGACACAGCUUUUCAAGUAAAAUUUGAGGGUUUAAAGCAAAAAUGAUUUCAGUUUUCUGACUAGAGAACUCAAAUCCUGCAUUUAAUUUUGUUUAUUAAAACCUUUAAACAGGCUCAAAUAUGUUUUCAAAUAUCAAGAGUAAUUUACUUCACAAUUCUUCCCGUACCAAUGUGGCAGUCUUCUAAUUCAUCCACUCAAAUCUCAUUCUUAUCUUCAAAUUCCGUAGUAAUUACCUAUUAGAAGUAGGCCAAAACAAAAGCUAAAUAGAAAACGACAGUCUACUAGAUUAUGUUUCAGUUGUCCCUCAGUUGACUUGCUCUAUAUAUAGCAAAAAAGAUCAUAUAAGGUCAUGUAUUAGGAACAAUGAAAUGUCACAUGAUGUUUUGCAAAACAGCAUAGGAAAAACAGUUCAAGGAAUGAAUGGCGAAUAAGAUUUAGGACUAUAGUUUUAAUAAAAACGUUUAAGCAGUCUAGAUUUAAGUGCAUCUUACUGCGAGUUUGACUCCUUCUUAAAAUUCGAUUUUUCAUUUGAGUCGCGUGCAACCGUGUGAUACCGACAACUUUCUUCUGCACACAUUAUAGUUUAGGCACAGCUAUGCUUUCCUUUCAUCUCAUCAUCAUAGAGAAUUAAAGAGCCCUCCACCGUGGACUCGAAUUAAACAUUUUUAAGAGUAAGUGUGUCUUAACACCGCCCUCGUCCCCAAAGGAAGAUAUAAAUGAACACGUGCCUGCAAAUACACACUUGCUUGGAGGUGGAAAAACAGACAUCACCGUAACUACCCCUCACCCCCACUCCAAAAACUCCAA